GGCCCGUAAUCCGGGUUGCGGACAGUGUCUGGUGGGUAGUUUGACUGGGGCGGUCUCCUCCUAAAGAGUAACGGAGGAGCACGAAGGUUGGCUAAUCCUGGUCGGACAUCAGGAGGUUAGUGCAAUGGCAUAAGCCAGCUUGACUGCGAGCGUGACGGCGCGAGCAGGUGCGAAAGCAGGUCAUAGUGAUCCGGUGGUUCUGAAUGGAAGGGCCAUCGCUCAACGGAUAAAAGGUACUCCGGGGAUAACAGGCUGAUACCGCCCAAGAGUUCAUAUCGACGGCGGUGUUUGGCACCUCGAUGUCGGCUCAUCACAUCCUGGGGCUGAAGUAGGUCCCAAGGGUAUGGCUGUUCGCCAUUUAAAGUGGUACGCGAGCUGGGUUUAGAACGUCGUGAGACAGUUCGGUCCCUAUCUGCCGUGGGCGCUGGAGAACUGAGGGGGGCUGCUCCUAGUACGAGAGGACCGGAGUGGACGCAUCACUGGUGUUCGGGUUGUCAUGCCAAUGGCACUGCCCGGUAGCUAAAUGCGGAAGAGAUAAGUGCUGAAAGCAUCUAAGCACGAAACUUGCCCCGAGAUGAGUUCUCCCUGAGACUUAGAGUCUCCUGAAGGAACGUUGAAGACGACGACGUUGAUAGGCCGGGUGUGUAAGCGCAGCGAUGCGUUGAGCUAACCGGUACUAAUGAACCGUGAGGCUUAACCUU
rnacentral:rRNA from 1 species